CCACUGAGUCCGCCUGACUUUAUCUGUGUGUCUGUCUGGGCAUGCCUCUGGACCCGUCUGAACCUGCCUUCAUGCUCUGAGGAUUCCUGGAAGCCUGGAUCCCCCAGACUGGGAUCGGCUUCCUGCAUGUUCGCCGGGGCUGCAGCACCUGGGAGACUCUGAGCGGCGCACGCCGCGUCUUGUUGGCAGCCCAUCGGCUGGAUCGCACCUCUUUAAAGGAAGAUGGACUGAACUGUUAAACCAGAAUGCCAGUGAUGGGUGGCGCCUCGCCCCCCUGCAGCUGCUGCGGUCCGACUAUCCUCAACAGCCUGCAUUUCUGUUAUGUUAUUUUCUGUCAUUAAAUGUUUUGAAACAGUUUUUAUAACAUCAACUUGAGGUUUCUCUCCGUGAAAAGGGAGUUUUUAUUCUCUACUGUUGCUGCAUGGAUGCUCUGUGAGAGGGAUUGCUGUCAAGUUGAUGAGUUGACCCAAUCAGCAAGUGGUUCCGUUAAAACCUUGAACCAAUCUGAUCUUAUUGAAUUGUCUGUAUUGAGCCUGUAGAUUACAUGUGGUGUGAAUUCCCACCAUAUAAAUCAACUGAAUCGAAUUGAAUAUUUAGAAACCAUAAAUCUAAUUAUAAAUGCCUUUCCUAACCACUCA